rnacentral:sRNA from 1 species
UGUUCCGCUGUGUCUUCCUCGUCGCGGUC